UAGGGAAUCUUCCGCAAUGGACGCAAGUCUGACGGAGCAACGCCGCGUGAGUGAAGAAGGAUUUCGGUUCGUAAAACUCUGUUGUUAGAGAAGAACAGCGCAUAGAGUAACUGUUAUGCGUGUGACGGUAUCUAACCAGAAAGCCACGGCUAACUACGUGCCAGCAUCCGCGGUAAUACGUAGGUGGCAAGCGUUGUCCGGAUUUAUUGGGCGUAAAGCGAGCGCAGGCGGUCAAUUAAGUCUGAUGUGAAAGCCCCCGGCUCAACCGGGGAGGGUCAUUGGAAACUGGUUGACUUGAGUGCAGAAGAGGAGAGUGGAAUUCCAUGUGUAGCGGUGAAAGGCGUAGAUAUAUGGAGGAACACCGGUGGCGAAGGCGACUCUCUGGUCUGUAACUGACGCGGAGGCACGAAAGCGUGGGUAGCAAACAGG
rnacentral:rRNA from 1 species